rnacentral:rRNA from 1 species
CCUACGGGUGGCAGCAGUAGGGAAUAUUGCACAAUGGGGGAAACCCUGAUGCAGCAACGCCGCGUGGAGGAUGAAGGUUUUAGGAUUGUAAAGCUCUUUUGUGAGAGAAGAAAAUGACGGUACCUGACUAAUAAGCACCGGCUAACUCCGUGCCAGCAGCCGCGGUAAUACGGAGGGGGCAAGGGUUAGUCGGAAUUACUGGGGGUAAAGGGUGGGGAGGAGGGAUUGGAAGUCCGAUGUGAAAGCGUGGGGCUUAACUACCGAACUGCAUUGGAAACUGUGAGGCUAGAGUGUAGGAGAGGUAGGUGGAAUUCCUGGUGUAGCGGUGAAAUGCGUAGAUAUUAGGAGGAACACUGAUGGCGAAGGCGGCCUACUGG